AUUUUAGAAAAAAAAACAACCAUUUUGUUUUUUUGUGGCUGUGGAGACUAUCUCUUGAAUCCAACUCCCAACAAACACACAACGUUGCCGUAACGUAGCGACCUUCCUACAACGUUGUACCAACCUUGCAAAAAGGUUGAGGAUUCUACGUUGUUGCUAAACGUUGUCACAACGAUGUCAUAAGGUUGCCAUUUAAACAUCACGAGGGCCGCAUACUUUAGGUUGUGCUUAGGUGGCGUGGACAACCACUGUACAACAUUUACUGGUCACAGCUGAAUCAGUUUAAAUUUCAACAAGCCGUCGUCUCAUUCAUCAACGACCGAGGAGACGCUAUUUUCACAUGGAGAAUUUUUUCAGCUGUUGAAUUCACCUCAGAUCAGUGUUGCUGUAAUUCCUGAUCUAUGGAAAGAAUAAUUGAAUGAGCGAGCAACGCCACAACUACAGGACCUCUUUCUCUUCUCAUAAUUUAACUGGAUUAUCUGUUGAAUUUGUUUCUUCCUCUGACUGCUUUCUCCAUACCAACAACUAUGCCUGGUCUUCAGCUGCGCUCCCCGGUCUGCUGUAUUCUCCAGUCCAGAGCUUCAUUGCCCAGUGUCUGAAUUUUAAUUUCUAUAUUUAUUUAUAUAUAUAUAUAUAUAUAUAUAUAUAUAUAUAUAUAUAUAUAUAUAUAUAUAUAUAUAUAUAUAUAUAUAUAUAUAUAUAUUUACAUUUUUAAUGAUUUCUUGUUUACUUUUCUUGUUUGUUUACCCUU
rnacentral:lncRNA from 1 species